AGCUCUGUAAGCGUAUACCAAAGUUGUUGCAGUUAAAACGCUCGUAGUCGGAUUUGGGUGGUCUCUCGGGGGCUUGCGUGUCAGGCGCUAUGCUUCGUAGGAGGCUGCUUUUGUGGAAUAUGCGUCAGGGAUGAGGCAACUUUAUUGUUGAACGUCUAGUCGCUACCACCUUUUACUGUGAAAAAAUUAUGGUGUUCAAAGCAGGCAUUUUGUCAUGAAUACAUUAGCAUGGAAUAAUGGAAUAGGACUUGGUCUUAUUUUGUUGGUUUGUUAUGGCUGAGUAAUGAUUAACAGGGACAGUUGGGGGCAUUUGUAUUUCAGAGCUAGAGGUGAAAUUCUUAGAUUUCUGAAAGACAAACAGCUGCGAAAGCGUCUGCCAAGGAUGUUUUCA
rnacentral:rRNA from 1 species